AAGAAGGUAAGAAGGCUGCAGCUUCCACUGGGCCUCUUGGGCUGCGUACUCUUGACACUCUUGCUCUGAGAACUAAGCAGGCAUAUUGCAUAUCAAAAUAGUAAAGAACUUCCUUUCCAAAGGCAAGACAUGCUUCUGUGAGGUACUGAGCCACCCGUCCCUGGAGGAAAGCAAGAACAGAGCAGAUCAGGGCCCAGGCAGACAUCUUGGAUGAUGGGGUACAUCUUGCCAUCCCGAGGCAAAGCUGGAGCGGGCAGUUGUCUGUGGGGAGGCCCUGGCUCACUCUGGGCCAAAUAACAGGACUGAUUGCAGCCAGCGAUGAAACAUCCUGUUUCUCCCAACCAGAAACAGGAGAGGAGAGUUCUAUGAGAGAGUGAAGCAGAUGAAAAGACAACAUGAAAACCUACCUACCAACCAACCAACCAACCAACAAACAAAGUAACCCAUUUCAAGUUCUCGGAGCCUGGUCUCAUUUCCAGCCUGGAAAUUACUGCUGCAGACUGCAGGGUGGUCCCUGCACUCCCUGUGUAUAUGAUCUAGUGGUUGCUC
rnacentral:lncRNA from 1 species